AGACAUAUUUUGGCACAGACAUAUAGUUCUGGCAUGCAGACGAGUUGGCUCAUUUCUGAGACAAACCGACUCUAUUCGCAAGACAGAAAGCAAUUUUUGCAAGCUUACAAAUGAACCAACCAAGUUGACUCAAAAUGAAAUCGAGUCGACUUCAAAAAAAAUCGAGUUGACUCGUGACACGGGACAACACUAACGGCUAGUUUUCUGCAACAUCUCCAACGAUUAUUUUUCCACUCCAACAGCU
rnacentral:lncRNA from 1 species